rnacentral:rRNA from 1 species
AACGAACGCUGGCGGCAGGCUUAACACAUGCAAGUCGAGCGCCCCGCAAGGGGAGCGGCAGACGGGUGAGUAACGCGUGGGAAUCUACCCAUCUCUACGGAAUAACGCAUGGAAACGUGUGCUAAUACCGUAUACGUCCUUCGGGAGAAAGAUUUAUCGGAGAUGGAUGAGCCCGCGUUGGAUUAGCUAGUUGGUGGGGUAAAGGCCUACCAAGGCGACGAUCCAUAGCUGGUCUGAGAGGAUGAUCAGCCACACUGGGACUGAGACACGGCCCAGACUCCUACGGGAGGCAGCAGUGGGGAAUAUUGGACAAUGGGCGCAAGCCUGAUCCAGCCAUGCCGCGUGAGUGAUGAAGGCCCUAGGGUUGUAAAGCUCUUUCACCGGUGAAGAUAAUGACGGUAACCGGAGAAGAAGCCCCGGCUAACUUCGUGCCAGCCGCCGCGGUAAAAC